AUAUGAGUUUUCACUAAGGAGCCGUUUGGUUAGAUGCAAUUAUAAAUACAGUGCAGUUAGAAAUUCAUACAAUUGAAAAUGCAGCAGUUACAACUAUAUAUAUAUAUUCUGUUUUGUUGGAUAUAGUAAAAAACGCUGCAAGUAUAAAUAAUUUGUUUGAUUGCAUGCAGUUGAGAAAUAAUUUUUGAAAUUUUAUAAUUUUAUAUAUAUGAUAGUGGGAUUAUCUCCAAUGUGGAAAAAAAUAAAUAAAUUUUGUUUAAAAAAUAAUUGAGCAGGUAAGCAUAUUUUUUAAAUAUACUCUUUCCAACUAAUGUAGUUGGAACUGUGGCCAAUUUGAACGUAGUUCGAACUGCUGCAGUUAAGCCUUCUCCUGCAGUUCCUACUGCAAUAGUUGGAAUUAAAUACAUCAAGCCAAACACCAAAUUUGCAUUUGCAUAUAGCUACAAUUGUAAAACAGUUACAACUACAUACAACCAAAUGACCCCUAAGAUGGGAUGGACAUAUUUAGUGGACGUGGGGCCCACGCGGGACAAAGCUGGUGAUGGGGCUCUUUUUUUUGCAAAUGGCUCUCUGAAAAAAUUUUAUUUUAAAACUAGUCCCAACAAACUUAUAAUUAUAAAAAUGAUCCUAUCCUUUCCAUGUAGGCGCCACGCAAGCGCCACGUGAGCACAUUGGCAGCCUGCUUGGCAAGUUGAAUACGAUGAACCAUUCAAAAUUAUAUUCUCAACUGCAUGCAAUUA
rnacentral:lncRNA from 1 species